GCAGCCUAGCGUCUGCGCUUCCGGGAGGAAAGUUACUGCUUGAGUAGCGUGAAAUACGCCGAGAGGUAGACUCCGCGCCGAUUGGCGGCCAACCUGCAGUCUCGGGUGGUGCCCGCCAAAAUGUCUCACAUGGAGAGCAUGGUGCUUUGUCGAGAGGCCCAAGUGUCCACCUUGCAGUCCCUGUUUGGAGAGAGACAUCAUUUCAGCUUUCCGUCCAUUUUUAUUUAUGGGCAUACUGCCAGUGGGAAGACCUAUGUAACACAAACCUUGUUGAAAACUUUAGAGCUCCCACAUGUCUUUGUGAACUGUGUUGAAUGCUUUACUUUGAGGCUACUUUUGGAACAAAUUCUAAACAAGUUGAGUCAUCUUAAUUCUUCAGUGGCAGGAUGUCCUACAGAAAUAACCUGUGAAACAUUUAAUGACUUUGUUCGAUUGUUUAAGCAAGUGACCAGUACUGAAAAUCUCAAGGAUCAGACUGUAUAUAUUGUUCUAGAUAAAGCUGAAUACCUAAGAGAUAUGGAAGCAAAUCUUUUGCCUGGGUUUCUUAGGUUACAAGAGUUGACUGACAGAAAUGUGACUGUUAUUUUUCUCAGUGAGAUUAUUUGGGAAAAGUUCCGUCCAAAUACUGGAUGCUUUGAACCAUUUGUCUUAUAUUUCCCUGAUUAUAGCAUAGGGAACCUUCAAAAGAUCCUGUCCCACGAUCAUCCUCCAGAAUAUUCAGCUGAUUUUUAUGCUGCCUACAUUAAUAUUCUCCUUGGAGUUUUCUACACUGUCUGUCGAGAUCUGAAAGAGCUCAGACAUCUGGCAGUGCUUAAUUUUCCCAAAUACUGUGAACCUGUAGUUAAAGGAGAAGCAGGUGAACGUGAUACUCGGAAACUGUGGAGAAAUAUUGAACCUCACCUGAAGAAAGCAAUGCAGACUGUUUAUCUCAGGGAGAUAUCAAGUUCCCAGUGGGAAAAGUUACAGAAAGAUGACACAGACCCAGGACAGCUAAAAGGUCUCUCGGCAUACACCCAUGUGGAACUACCAUAUUACUCUAAGUUUAUUCUUAUUGCUGCAUACCUUGCCUCUUAUAACCCAGCGAGAACAGACAGGAGGUUCUUCCUUAAGCAUCAUGGGAAAAUCAAGAAAACCAACUUUCUAAAGAAACAUGAGAAGACAAGCAAUCACCUCCUUGGACCAAAACCAUUUCCACUGGACAGAUUAUUGGCAAUACUGUACAGUAUUGUGGACAGCAGAGUGGCUCCAGCAGCAAAUAUCUUUUCCCAGAUUACCUCCCUAGUGACUCUACAGCUGUUAACUCUAGUUGGUCAUGACGAUCAGCUUGAUGGACCAAAGUACAAAUGCACAGUUUCACUAGAUUUCAUCAGAGCUAUUGCACGGUGCAGUUCUUGGUGGUGGUGGUAUUGACUGGAAUGGGAUAUGACAGCUUUCUGGAAUGAUACAAAUAUCAUUUAUCUAUAUGUAAGUGGUGGUACAAUGGUGCCAUUGAAAAUUCAGUUGAACUAUACAUUUUAAAUUUAAAUAUUCUACAUUGGACUUCAAAAAAACAACAAAAACCCUUAAAUGUAGAAAUAGUUCUGUGGUUGACACAAUAUUGAACCAUCCUCUUGAGACAGUGAGGACCACUAAAUUAGGGUAAAAACAAACAACAACAAAACUUUCCAAUUUUUUAAAAAUGUAAAAUAAAGAGAAAAGAAUUUUGGAGGUGCCAAUCUGUUUACACCAGGCCUUGUUUUUCCUUCUGCUGGAGAUGGUCGUAGAUCAGGCAAGCAGCUAUAGCUGAAGCUUGUAGCCCUGCAGUGGAUCUCAGCUGAACGUCAGUCUCAGUAAGGUAUGGGCAGCAGACGGGGACCCUGUGGAGAUCAGUUGUCAUGGGGACUGACUUUCAGAUGCUGACAGAGAUGGGAAAAACUGCAUUCAUUAAACAUACUACUUUUGCUGUGGGUUGGUCUUUCUGUACACUGUGAAUAUAUGUUGCUCUCAUUGGUUGAUAAAUAAAGCUGUUUUGAUCAAUAGCCAGGCAGAAUAAGGUUAAGGGGUACAUUCAAACUUAAGAUGGAGAUAAAGAAGGGUGGAGUCUAGCAAACAUGAUCCAGCCAUCCAAGGAACAAGAUGUUAGAGAACCAGUAAGCCAUGGGCCACAUGGCAAUAUAGAAUAAUAGGAAUGGGUUAAUUUAAAUGUAAGAGCUAGCUAGUAAUAAGCCUGAGCUAAUGGUCAAACAUUUAUAAGUAAUAUAAGCCUCUGAGUGAUUAUUUGGAAAUGGCUGUGGGAUGGGAUGGGACAGAGAAAAGCCUCUGGUUACAUACAGUGCCCACCAUCUGGUGUGGAUCCACAUAAGAUCCAAGAAAGCUUUAAAAAAAGGUUCUGAACACAUAGAAACAGAGCUGCACUGGUCUUUCUAGUCUCACAGUCUCGUGCCAGCAGCAGUGUUAGUGCCACAUCUCCCAACAGCUGCCUGCAAUAUAGAGCCAGCCACCAGUCACCAGCUGCCAUGAGCUAAGGAGCAUGUCAGGUUUCCACAGUCUCACACAGACCUUGGUACAGAAAGACUAAUCAGCCACACACUGAAUGAUGGAUUUAGCUUUUGCUCAUACAGAGAAAAGGUUAAAGAUACACAAUAAAAAGAGGUCCAGACAGAAAAACCUCUGAAGAGGUUCCAGUGUGUUUUAUAAUGUGCAUAGGCUUAAGAAAAAUAGAUUACAGAAAGAAAGAAAUAGUUUAAAAAAUAAUAUAAUAAAGUCUUUAGAAAAAGAAGUAAAAUAAUAAAAAUGAAUAAAUCACAUAGAAUAGGAAAUACACAGGAGUCUGGAUCUUGUAUAGUGUUGUGCUGAUUUUGAAUGUUUUGAUGCUGACAAGCAAACAACAGCUGCUGAGAGACGUGGGAUUGAGAGAGAGACUGGUGAAAUACACCAGCCUAGAUGUUUUAAAAAUGCCUUAACUUUAAAACAGAAGUCAAAAAAUAUAUUUGUAAAAUGGAAUUUAAAAGAUGCAUUGCUUUGGAGAAGCAGCUUUGAUUUUGUUUCCACAGAAAACAAGAGGCUGUGGAUUUGUUCCAGGUUAAGAUGGAUCAAAUUUGAUCAAGGGAGACCUCCUGAACUUUGACAGAUGAUAUCUAUCAAUAAAGAUUAUAGCUGGUCUUCCCAGGACUUGGCCAUUAUUUCAAAUUUUCUCAGGGUCCCCAUAAGAUUACCAGCACCUCCAAUCAACAGGAAUUAGUCUAGAGAAUUAUGCCCAAAUUCCCAAGAUGUUAUUUAUGAAUGUUUGUUUUCAUUUAAAAGGGGUUAGUUAUAAUUGGUUAAUGGUCAUAUUCAAUCUCUUUCUAAAGAAGAAAAUGGGAUAUGAUAUAGAAAUGAUGUGGGGAAAAGGGUAGAUUAUCAUGUUAAAAAAAGGUAGAUUAUUGAAUCCACUCUAAUCCAAAAAACAACUGUAAAUCUUAAAAUAUUUUACAUUGGUAUGGAUUUUGGUUUAUUGAUACAAAUUUAAGGUCAAUUUUGUUAUGCUGUAUAUAUAUUUCUAUUCUUGUUUAAGGUAUUAUGUUUAUGCAGCUCAUUUAAAAAUAUAUAUAAUUAAAAAUACAGAUUAAUAGUCAUCUAUAAUAGUCAAACUUAUAGUCAUAUUAGUUAGGUUUUUGAGGUGUACAAAGAUAUAUUUCAAUUAGAUAGGUAAUCUUCAAACACUUCAAAGACCUACAGAAUAUGGCAUUUAAAAUGUUUUAAGAACUUAAACUUUUCCACUGCCUGGAUGCCUCCCAAACAGAUCAAGCUAAUCAACUGUCUCACUUAUCCAGAGGGCCUGAUCCAGUUGGGGGCUCCUCAGCUAUUGGUUCAUAGUUCAUGUGUUUCCAUUCGUUUGACUAUUUGUCCCUGUGCUUUUUCCAAUCUUGGUCUCAACAAUUCUCACUCAUACAAACCCUCCUCUUUUUCACCAAUUGGACUCCUGGAGCUUCACCUGGGGCCUGGCCGUGGAUCUCUGCAUCCGGUUCCCUCAGUCAUUGGAUGAAGUUUCUAGCAUGACAAUUAGGGUGUUUGGCCAUCCUAUCACCAGAGUAGUGAGACAUGUCUGCUCCUGGCAGCACUAAUUACUUCAAAGAAGAUGAUGGGCAUUGAAAAGAUUUCUUAUGGAGUUUGCUUUCAAUGUGGCAAGGCUAGCCAUUUGGGCAAGAAACUGCUCUUGCCUGGACUGCUUGACAGUAUCCUGUAUAAACUAGACAUGCAGAACCCACAGGAAAGUGACUUCUGAACUUUGCCAAAACAAGGCAGGUGGUCCUUCAGGUUCCUGCUUCACAGAAGAAACUGCCAGACAUUCUACAGGAUACAGAGGAAAGCAACUGAUGAACUUUGCCAAUAUAGGCAGGACAGUCCUUCAAAUUUCCUACUUCACUGAGAAGUCUGCCAGAUACUCUAGGCCUAUAGGCUGAAUGAAGAUGGAUGUCCCAAUGUUACAAAAGAACUUUGGGUGACUGUCCAGGCAGCCAAAUUUAUGUCAUUUCUAGAGUUUUGGAAGUUGCUUGCAAUGCACUUCCUGUUUACUUGGGAAAAUAUCCUCCUGGGGUUUUUGAUGGAGUUGAAGACUAGAUAGUUAUAAUUAUAGUUUUUCUUAGUUACCAUAAAAGAUAAAUUAUAAAUGAAACUUUAGACUCACAAAAAUAGGAUAGAUGAUAAAGUAUUUUCUUUAAUUUUGCCAAAUACAAAUAGACUAGAUAUUGUAACUGUAAUUCCUGCUUGAUAACUGUUUUGUUAUAUGUAAUUUUACUAUGUUAAAGUUAAAAUCUUACUUUUUGAUUAGACAGAAAGGGAGAAAUACUGUGGGAUGAUCUUUCUGUAUGCUGUGAAUAUAUGUUGCUCUCACUGGUUGACAAAUAAAGCUGUUUUGGCCAAUAACCCAGCAGAAUAAGGUUAGGCAGUACAUUCAAACUGAAGUUGGAGAUGAAGAAGGGUGAAGUCAAGCAGACACUAUCCAGCCACUGAAGGAACAAGAUGUCAGAGAACCAGUAAGCCAUGGGCCAUGUGGCGAUGCAUAGAUUAAUGGAAAUGGAUUAAUUUAAAUGUAAGAGCUGGCUAGUAAUAAGGCUGAGCUAAUGGCCAAACAUUUAUAAGUAAUAUAAGCCUCUAAGUGAUUAUUUGGAAAUAGCUGCUGGACAGGACAGAGAAAAGCCUCUGGUUACAUAUUUAAAGACCUGUGGUUCAUAAUGCUGAGACCAUAAUGGACUUACUAAGAACACAGCAAGACUUAAAAAUUAUUCCCAGAAUGUCAUACCCUUAUCUCAGUAGAUUCACAGAUGUAAUGAUUAGGAAUUGUUAAAUACAUAUAUUAGGAUAAAACUGUAUGGAAUAGAGCCUUUCUUGUAAAGUGAUACAUCUAAAAGUGUACUGAUUAAAAUUGUAAGUCCACAAAAAGACCCUGAACAGCAGCAUACUGAAUGGUGAGAUGUGCUCUGGAGACCAUGGUUUAGGUCAGGACUUGAAUGAAGUAGGCUUGUAAAUGCUUCCCAAGAUAAACAGUACAUUGUGACUUGAUAUUUCUGAAUGUAAGCAGUGGCAGUGAAAUUAUAAAUGAAGGAGUGAAUAAUCCAUUAUGUAGAAAAUAGCCAGUGAAAAAACAAUGACCAAAGAACAGUAGAAAAUAAUGGUAUCCAUCACAGUCAUUCUAGGUCUGACAGAGAAAUUUACUUUAAGGAUCACCCAGCCAUGCCCUUGAUGAAUUCAGGGAUGUCACUUAUAGACACUGUCUUUAUAACCAGUUUCUACUAAAUAUUUAUUAUUGGGUGAAAGAGACCCCAGGAACUGAAAUGCCAAAGUGUGUGCUGGAUGAUGGGGGAUGGAGAAUUUGCACAUCACCCUUUGGGGCAUACUGACUGUCUCAGUAGGUGGGGCAGGAGCAUGGAGUUUUGAGUGGAAUAUGUUUAAUCAUUCCACUUAAUACUUUUCCUUCAGGAUUUCAUUUCAUGUCAGGUGACUGUACAUCAAGCUCAGUGAUGAAAGAUUUAAAUGAGGAUGCUUACUUGCGGUUUUUGAUUAUACCCAUAGAAGCCUAAACAAAAUACAAAAUUACGGCAAGCAAUUUUGGUGGAAAGUCGGGACUGUUUAGAAAAAUCAGUCAUAUUAGGUGACAGGGCCUGAAAGCAAUAUGAUAUUGUCAAAUGACGUAGGGCUCCAUGAUUUAUGAUUUAUGAUAGUUCAGGUUUAGUUCUUCCUGUGUUUGACUUGCCCUUACAACAAUGUGUCAUCUUUAUGGUGGCAUUUCUGGCAAAAUUUGGAGCCAGUGAUAAACUUGGAAAUUGUCAGUUUGUGGGUUGUAAGAGAAGUUGUGGCCAUCAAUGAUCUUCUACCGAAGGAAGCAGUGAAAUGAUGAGAAGCCCAAAGUAUAUCCAGAGAUGUUUACAUCAUGGAUGCCAAUGAAGAGAUCUGUCUCUAAAGUCAGGCAUGUGUACAGGUGGUACACACCUGUAAUUCCAGCACUUGGAAGGUGUCUUAGUUAGGGUGUCUAUUGCUGUGAAGAGAAACUAGGACAACAGCAACUCUUAUAAAGAAAACAUUGAAGUGAGGUGCCACUCCCUAUGAACUUAUAGGGGCCAAUUACAUUCAAACCACCAUAUUCCACUCCUGGCCCCCAUAAGCUUGUAACAAUAUCAUAAUGCAAAAUGCAUUUAAUCUAACUUCAAAAGUCCCCAUAGUCUAUCACAGUCUCAACAAUGUUUCAAAGUCCAAAGUUCAAAGUCUCUUCUGAGAUUCAUGCAAUUUCUUAACUGUAAUCGCCUAUAAAAAAAAAAAAAGCAGAUGACAUGCUGCCUACUUAUAAAGGCAAGGAUCUACAUUACCAUUCCAAAACACAGGGAAGGGAGCAUAGUGAGGAAAUACUGGACCAAAGCAAGACUAGAAAACCAGCUGGGCAAACUGCAAACUCUGAAUGUCUGAUGUCAAAAUGCUCUUCAGAUUGCCAACAGAAGUGCAGCACACUUCUUUCUUUUGGUCUGGUUCUACCCCAUUAGCAGCUUUCCUUGGUAAGUAUCCCAUGGCUCUGGCAUAUCUAACAUCUUGGAUUCUCCAAUGCAGUCCAGGCUUCAACUUCACAGCUUCAUGCAAUGGCCUCUCUAGGCCUCUAUUCAGGGACACUCCUGACAUAUGCCUGGCUUUUAUUUUUAGUCAUGGGGGCAAAUUCCAUAGCCUCUUUCUUCUGUCCUUAACUCUAAAGCAGAACCACAUGGCCAAAGCUGCCAAGUUCUGCUUCCUGCUGAGGCUGGAAAAUGGUCCCCUAGUUCAAGUAUAUCUUCACCAGCUUUCUGUUUUUAAUGGUUUCCUUCACUGCCUAAGCUUGGCUGUCCUGAAACUGGAUCUGUAGAACAGGCUGACCUCAAACUCAGAGAUCUGCCAGUCUCUUCCUUUUUAAAGGAAUUAAAGGUGUGCACCACCACACCUAGCUCUAAAUUUUUCUUUAAUUCCUUUUCACAAAUUUAGCUGUGUGGGAUAUUGUCCUGAGGUCACCACUCCCUUUAUUUAUAAUACUUUCCAUUUCUUAAUCUGUUUAUCUUGUUGAAUAGACUUAGAUCUAUUCCUCUUUCUGGUACUCUUUUUCUCCUCAAAUGUUUUUCCUUGCUCAGUUUGCUCCUUUUCAUUAUAUAUCUUCAUUAGAAGAUUAACACUAGUAACCACACAACAGAUUCUAUACUAGGCUGUUUUGAGAUUUCCUCUGCCAAGAGAAUUAAUUAAUCAAAACCUCUCCACUUUAGCCUCAGGGAACCUUUUUGGACAAUGGCAAAAAGCAACCACAUUCUUCACCAAAAUAUCACAAGAACUAUUUCUAGGAAACAUACUAAAAUUCUUCUCCUCUGAAACCUCUUGAGUGAGCCACCCACAUUUCAAAUCACUCUUAGCACCACUGUCUUCCAUGCUCCUACUGGUGUGGCCCAUUAAGCAGUGCUUAAAGCAUUCCACCGCUUUCCUAACUCAAACUCCCAAAAUUUAAAUUCCUCCAAAUAAAAGCAUGGCAAAGCCUUUCACAGCAAUACCCCCACUCCUGGUACCAACAUCUGUCUUACUUAGGGUUUCUGUUAUUGUUAAGAGAUACCAUGACCACAGCAACUCUUAUAAAGGAAAACAUUUAAUUGGGGUGGCUCACUUACAGUAUAGAGGUUUAGUCCAUUAUCAUGGCAGGAAGCAAGGCAUCAUGAAGGCAGACAUAAGACGAGAGUAGCUGAGAGUUCUUACAUCUUUAUUCACAGGCAAGAGGAAGUGGUCUGGGGCAUUGGGUGUGACUUGGGCAUAUAUGAGACCUCAAAGUCCACCCCCACAGUGACAUAUUUCCUUCAACAAGGCCAUAUAUACUCCAACAAAGCCACACCUCCCAAUGGUGCCACUCCCUAUGAGCUUGUGGUGGCCAAUUACAUUCAAACUACCACAGAAGGCUUAGGCAGAAAUAUCCUGAGUUUGAGACCAGGCUAAGCUACAUAAGGACACCCUGUCUGUUUCUGUUUCUGUCUUUGCUGUCUCUUCUUCUCCUCUCUCUUCUUCUCUCUCUCUCUCUCUCUCUCUCUCUCUCUCUCUCUCUCUCUCUCUCUCUCUCUCUCUGUCUCUCUCUCUCUCUCUCUCUCUCUCUCUCUCUCUCUCUCUCUCUCUCUCUCUCUCUCUCUCUCUGUGUUAAUAAAGACAAAAUGCAUAUAUUAAACCUAACAAGUAGGUUAGAAGAACUUAAGAAAUUCUGAGUUUAAGUUGGUUAAAUGGCAGACUGCAGUGAUUUGAUGGAUGAAUUCUAGAUAAGGGAAUAAAUAGUAAAGAUUGAUUUCACAUUCAAGAAUUUUAACUCCAAGGAGAAAACAGCUGUUAGCAGCUCCUGUGUCUCAUCCAAACGAGUCAUACAUCAAAUUCCCUAGUACCUCAGAAUGUGACUUUAUUUGGAAAUGGAGCUAUUCAGAUAAAAGUAGUUAAGGUAAAGUCAUUAGAGUGAGGUGUAGCCCAAUAUGAUCAGUACUUUUAUAAAAGGAGAAAUUAAGACGAGUAUUGUGUGAACAUAAAGAUGGCAGCCAGCACACCAAGAAGGGAGGGCUGGACAUAUUCUCAGAAUGCUCAGAAGGGGCUGCCUGUACUGGUUCAACAUCAGACCUCCACCCUCUACAACUCCUGAUGCAGAUCCAUUCAUUGUUUUAACUGACCAGCAACCCUAGAGAAUAAAUACAGUGGUGAAGGAGGUAUUUAGAAAAACAGAGGGUUUGAGAAAUAAGGUGAGAAGAAAUUAAAUGUAUUUUCAUUUUAAGAAUGAAACAAAGAUAAAGGGAGGAUAAAGAAGACUACAGAAUAGUCAUACCACCCUAAGUUGGGGAUAGAGGGGUAAAUUUUAUUUUCUAACUGUGAGUAUUUUGUGGGUUACAGGUAUUUGUGGGCUAUGGUGUGGGUGCUGGGGACCUAACCUGUGUCCUCUGCAGGGGCAGGAAGUGCUCUUAACCUCUAGGCCAUCUCUUCAGCCUCUAUAGCCAGGGGAUUUUAAGCCUAUGGUCAGCAACUUACAGUAAGUUACAGCAUGUCUGCAUGUACUCCACAUAUAUAUAAUUUAUUCUAAGUUCCACCUACUCUUCCUAUUUUUUUCCUAAUUCCUACAUCAUCCUAUUUGGUUUUUGUUUUAACUGAGAAAAUUCUUAUUCAUUUUACUUACCAACCACAGAUCCCCCUCUCAUCCCUCCUCCUGCUCCCUCCCAGAUUUUCCCUCCCAACCUACCUCCAUCCCCUCCUCUGAAAAGGUAAGGCCUCCCAUGGGGAGUCAGCAAAACCUAGUACAUUCAUUUGAGGAAGGUCCAAGCCCUCCCCCCCACACACAAUAAGGCUGUGCAAAGCAUCCCACCAUAGGUAACGGGCUCUAAAAAGCCAGCUUAUGCACCAGGGAUGGAUCGUGACCACACUGCCAGGGGUCCCUCAAACAGACCAAGCAACACUGCUGGUCUAAAGUUCAUGAGUUCCCACUAGCUUGGUUUGGGUGUCUCUGUAGAUUUCCCCAUCAUAAUCUCUCUCUCUUUUUUUUUUUCAAGUUUUUCGAGACAGGGUUUCUUUGUGUAGUUUUGGUGCCUGUCCUGAAUCUCACUCUGUAGACCAGGCUGGCCUGGAACUCACAGAGAUCCACCUGGCUCUGCCUCUUGAGUGCUGGGAUUAAAGGCAUGUGCUACCACCACCCAGCUCCCAUCAUGAUCUUGAUGCCCCUAGCUCAUAGAAUCCCUCUUCCCUCUCUUUGACUGGACUCCUGGAGCUUGGCUCUGGAUCUCUGCAUCUGCUUCCAUCAGUUACUCAAUGAAAACUCUAUGGUGAUAGUUAGGGUAUUCACCAAUCCGAUUACCAGAAUAGGCCAGCUCAGGCACACUCUCCAAUAUUGCUAGUAGUCUAAGCUGGGGUCAUCCUUGUGGAUUCCUGGGAACUUCCCUAGAACCAGGUUUCUCCCUAUCCCCAUGAUGUCUCCCUCUAUCAAGAUAAAUCUUUUAUUGCUCUCCCACUCAGUCCCUGUUACAGCUCAGCCAUCCCAUCCCCUUAUGUUUUCAUCCUCCAUCCCCUAUCCUCUAUUGCCCCCCCUCACCCACAGUUUACUCAGGAGAUCUAAUCUAUUUCCCCUUCCCAGGGUGAUCCAUGAGUCCCUCUUAGGGUCCUCCUUGUUAGCUAGCUUCUCUGGAGCUGUGGGUUGUAGUCUGGUUAUCCUUUGCUUUACAUCUAGUGUCCACUUAUGAGUGAGAACAUACCAUGUUUGUCCUUCUGAGUCUGGGUUACCUCACUCAGGAUGAUAUUUUCUAGUUCCAUCCAUUUGCCUGCAAAUUUCAUGAUGUCAUUGUUUUUUUUUUUUACUACUGAGUAGUACUCCAUUGUGUAUAAGUACCACAUUUUCUUUAUCCAUUCUUUAGUUGAGGGGCAUCUAGGUUGUUUCCAGGUUCUGGCUAUUACAAAUAAUGUCCUAUGAACAUAGUUGAGCAAGUGUCCUUGUGGUAUGAUUGAGUGUCCUUUGGGUAUAAGCCCAAGAGUGGUAUAGCUGGGUCUUGAGGUAGAUUGAUUCCCGAUUUUCUGAGAAACUGCCAUACUGAUUUCCAAAGUGGCUGUACGAGUUUGCACUUCCACCAACAGUGGAGGAGUGUUCCCCUUGAUCCACAUCCUCUUUAACAUAAGCUGUCUUCAGUUUUUUUUUUUUAUCUUAGCCAUUCUGACAGGUGUAAGAUGAUAUCUGAGAGUCAUUUUGAUUUGCAUUUCCCUGAUGACUAUGGAUGGUGAGCAAUUCCUUAAAUGUCUUUUGGCUAUUUGAGAUUCUUCUGCUGAGAAUUCUCUGUUUAGCUCUGUAGCCAAUGUUUUAAAUUGAAUUGUUUGGUAUUUUGAUGUCUAGUUUCUUGAGUUCUUUAUAUAUUUUGGAGAUCAGCCCUCUGUCAGAUGUGGAGUUGGUGAAGACCUUUUCCCAUUCUAUAGGCUGUUGUUUUGUCUUAUUGACCAUGCCCUUUGCCUUACAAAAUCUUCUGAGUUUCAGGAGGUCCCAUUUAUUUAUUUAUUUUUAUUUUUAUUCAUUUUUACAUAACAACCACAGAUUCCCUUCUCAUCCCUCCUCCUACCCCCCCACCUUUUCCCCCACCCCUCACCCCUCCUCCAAUAGGGUAAGUUCUCCCAUGGAUCAAAAACUGAGAGCAACAAAUGUCUGUGCUACUGGUCUUAUAUUUAGGAAGUGGUCUGUGUCAAUGUGUUCAAGACUACUUCCUACUUUCUCUUCUAUCAGGUUCAGUGUAACUGGUUUUAUAUUAAGGUCUUUGAUCCACUUGGACUUGAGUUUUAUCCAUGGUGACAGAUAUGGAUCUAUUUGCAAUCUUCUACAUGUUGACAUCCAGUUAUGCCAGUACCAUUUGUUGAAGAUGCUUUCUUUUUUCCAUUGUACAGUUUUGGCUUCUUUUUCAAAAAUCAGGUGUUCAUAGGUGUGUAGAUUAACGUCAGGAUCUUCAAUUCAACUCCAUUGAUUUACAUGCUGGUUUUUAUGCCAAUUCCUAGCUGUUUUUCUUAGUAUAGCUCUAUAGUAGAGCUUGAGGUCAGGGAUGGUGAUGCCUCCAGAAGUUGCUUUACUGUAAAGGAUUGUUUUAGCUAUCCUGGGUUGUUGUUUUUUUUUUUUUUCCAUAUGAAGUUGAGUAUUGUUCUUUCCAAGUCUGUGAAGAAUUGUGUUGGGAUUUUGAUGGGGAUUGCAUUGAAUCUGUAGAUUGCUUGUUGGUAAGAUUGCCAUUUUUAUUAUAUUGGUUCUACCUAUGCAUGAGUAUGGCAUUUCUUUCCAUUUUCUGAUAUCUCCUUCAAUUUCUUUCUUUAGAGACUUAAAGUUCUUGUUAUACAGGUCUUUCACUUGCUUUGUUAGAGUUACCCCAAGGUAUUUUAUAUUAUUUGUGGCUAUUGUAAAGGGUGAUGUUUCUCUGAUUUCUUUCUGGGCCCAUUUUUUUUAAUUUUUAAUUUAUUUUAUUUUUCUUUAUUAAGAAAUUUUCUACUCACUCCUCAUGCUAUCCACACACACACACCCCUCCUUCCUCCCACCCCCAGCCCUCUUUCCCAAGCCACCCCACAUCCCCACAUCCCCCAAAUCGAGGACUCCCAUGGAGAGUCAGCAGAGCCCUGCUCACUGAGCCUAGGCAGGUCUGCUGUGGGAUGUUCUGUAUGGCAAAUGUGUUGCUAAUUAGUCAAUAAAUAAAACACUGAUUGGCCAUUGGCUAGGCAGGAAGUGUAGGCGGGACAAAGAGGAGAAUAAAGCUGGGAAGUGGAAGGCUGAGUCAGAGAGACACUGCCAGCCGCCACAAUGAGAAACAGCAUGUGAAGAUGCCAGUAAGCCAGGAGCCAUGUGGCAAGGUAUAGAUUAAUGGAAAUGGAUUAAUUUAAGCUGUAAGAACAGUUAGCAAGAAGCCUGCCACGGCCAUACAGUUUGUAACCAAUACAAGUCUCUGUGUUUGCUUGGUUGGGUCUGAGUGGCUGUGGGACUGGCAGGUGAGAGAGAUUUGUCCUGACUGUGGGCCAGGCAGGAAAACUUAAGCUACAAAUGGUGCCCAACAUGGUGGCAAGAGUUUCCACCUAAAAACUGAGAAAAAAGAUUCUAAAACGGAGCUAAAAACAGCUUCCUAAUUGUCUCUCUCAAAUGAGCGGCAGCUGCCAGUUUCAGCUACUGGUGGGUUCCUAGAGUGCGUGCUCAACCUGCAGUAUGGCGGGAAUGAGGCCUCUGCAAGUGGCACAUUAAGCUACGUGGUGGAUUUAGCCUUUGCUAGUACAAAACAAAAAAGGGUUUCUGGGCUACUUGCUGCUUGGAUAAAAGCAUAGACCCCCCCCCAUAGCUCCCAGAGCUGGCGGUAAACCACAGCCAUGUUGGGAAGCUGAGGUGGGCGGAGCCAGCAGCCACAGCUGCUGCAGUUUAAGGCAAUAGAUUCACAAUAAGAAAGAUUCAGAUGUAAUAGUUUACAAUGUGUGUAAAAGAUACGUAGGCUUGAAAGAGACAAAAAAGGUGAUAUAUACAGUUAUAGAAACAAAUACAUAGUUUUAAAAAAUAAAGUCUUUAAAGAGACAGUAAAGGUAGUAUAUAAAAUAAGCCACGUAAAAAUGGAUAUUACACAGAGAAUCUGCAUUGUGUUGUCUUUGGGAUUUUUAACUGCAGGAAAACAUUUGAUUGUAAAAGCUGUUGAGUUAAACCAAUAUAUAUAUUUUAAAGAUACCUUGACUUCAAAAUUUGGAUAUAAGGAUGUGUUGCUUUGGAAAAGAGUCUCUUUUGUUUCCACAGAAAGUCAGAGGCUAUGGAUUUGUUCAAGAUUAAGAUACAUCAGGUUUGACCAGCCAAGACCCCCUGAAAGGUCUCCGAUGACACCAUGGCCCAGAUGAUCCAACAUCCAGAAUGAUUUGAAGGCAACUGGCUCAGAUGAUACACCCUCAUGGACUAUUCUAUAAUUCUAAAAUUUUCUUUGUAUCCCCAUAAGAUACAGCGCCCCCCUCCAGCAGGAAGUAGUAAGAGAAGCUAUGCCCAAAUUCCCAAAUUAUAUGUAAUUUUACUUUGUUAAGGUUAAAACCUUCCUUUUUGAAAAAAAAAAGAGGGAAGUGCUGUGGGAUGUUCUGUAUGGCAAAUUUGUUGCUAAUUAGUCAAUAAAUAAAACACUGAUUGGCCAUUGGCUAGGCAGGAAGUGUAGGCGGGACAAAGAGGAGAAUAAAGCUGGGAAGUGGAAGGCUGAGUCAGAGAGACACUGCCAGCCGCCACGAUAAGAAACAGCAUGUGAAGAUGCCAGUAAGCCAGGAGCCAUGUGGCAAGGUAUAGAUUAAUGGAAAUGGAUUAAUUUAAGCUGUAAGAACAGUUAGCAAGAAGCCUGCCACGGCCAUACAGUUUGUAACCAAUACAAGUCUCUGUGUUUGCUUGGUUGGGUCUGAGUGGCUGUGGGACUGGCAGGUGAGAGAGAUUUGUCCUGACUGUGGGCCAGGCAGGAAAACUUAAGCUACACAGGUCCAAGCCUCUUCCCACUGCACCAAGGCUUUGCAAGGUGUCACACCACAGGCACCGGAUUCCCAGAAGCCUGCUGGGCCCAUUUAUUAUUUGUAUAUAGGAGGGAUACUGAUUUUUUUCAGUUAAUCUUGUAUCCUACCAUAUUAUUGAAGGUAUUUAUCAGUUGUAGGAGUUCCCUGGUAGAAUUUUUUGGGUCACUUAUGUUUACUAUCAUAUUAUCUGCAAAUAGUGAAAGUUUUACUUCUUCCUUUCCAAUUUGUAUCCCCUUGAUCUCCUUUUGUUGUCUUAUUGCUCUAAUUAGAACUUCAAGUCCUAUAUUGAAUAUAUAUAUGGAGAGAGUGGACAUCCUCGUCUUGUUCCUGACUUUAGUGGAAUUGCUUUGAGUUAAUCUCCAUUUAAUUUGAUGUUGGCUGUUGGCUUGCUAUAAAUUGUCUUUAUUAUGUUUAGGUAUGUUCCUUAUAUUCCUGAUCUCUCCAAUACCUUUAACAUGAAGGGGUGUUGGAUUUUGUUAAAGGCUUUUUCAGCAUCUAAUGAGAUGAUCAUGUGGUUUUUUUUUCUUUCAGUUUGUUUAUAUGGUGUAUUACAUUGACAGAUUUUCAUAUGUUUAGCUAUCCAUGCAUCUCUGAGAUGAAGCCUACUUGAUCAUGGUGGAUAUUUUUUGAUGUGUUCUUGGAUUCGAUUUGCCAGUAUUUAAUUGAGUAUUUUUGCAUCAAUGUUCAUGAGGGAAAUUGGUCUACAAUUCUCUUUCUUUGUUGUGGUUUGGAUAUCAGACUAACUUUAGCCUCAUAAAAAGAGUUUGGCCAUGUUCCUUCUGUUUCUAUUGUGUGGAACAAUUUGAAGAGUAUUAGUAUUAGCUCUUCCUUGAAAUUCUGGUGGAAUUCUGCACUGAAACCAUCUGGUCCUGGACUGUUUUUUGGUUGGGGGACUUUUAAUGACUAUUUCUAUUUCCUUAGUAAUUACAGGUUUAUUUAAAUUGUUUAUCUGGUCUUCAAUUUUGCUACGUUAUCCAAAAAAAACUGUCCAUUUCUUUCAGAUUUCCCAAUUUUGUGGAGUACAUGUUUUUGAAGUUUGACCUGAUGAUUCUCUGGAUUUCCUUGCUGUCUGUUGUCAUGUCUUCCUUUUCAUUUCUGAUUUUGUUAAUUUGAAUGCUCUCUCACUGCUUCUUGCUAAGUUUGUGUAAGGGUUUUUCUAUCUAGCUGAUUUUCUCAAAGAAUCAACUCUUUUGUUAUAUUGUUCUCUUUAUUUGUAUUUUAUUGAUUUCAGCCCUCAGUUCAUUUCCUGACAUCUACUCCUCCUGGGUGAAUUUGCUUCUUUUUGUCUAGGUGUGCUGUUAAGUCGCUAGUGUGAGAUUUCUCCAACUUCCUUAUGUAGGCAUUUAGCACUAUGAACUUUCCUCUUAGUACUGCUUUCAUAGUGUUUCAUAAGUUUGGGCAUGUUGUGCAUUCAUUUUCAUUGAAUUCUAGGAAGUCUUUCUUUCUUGAUUUCUUCCUUGACCCAGUGGUGAUUCAGUUGAGAGUUGUUCAGUUUCCAUGAGUUUGUAGGCUUUCUAUAAUUUGUGUUGUUGUUGAAUUCUAACUUUAAGCCAUGGUGAUCUGAUAAGAUACAGAGGGUUAUUCCAUUUUUUUUCUAUCUAUUGAGAUUUGCUUUGUGACUGAGUAUUUGGUCAGUUUUAGAGAAGGUUCCAUGAGGUACUGAGAAGAAUGUAUAUUCUUUUGUGUUUGGGUGAAAUGUUCUACAGAUGUCUUUUAAGUCCAUUUGAGUCAUAAUAUCUGUUAGUUCCCUUAUUUUUCUGUUAAAUUUCUGUAUUGCAGACCUGUCCAUUGGUGAGAGUGGGGUGUUGAAGUCUCCCACUACUAGUAUGUGGGGUUUGAAGUGCGAUUUAAACUUUAGUAAUGUUCCUUUUAUAUAUGUGGGUGCCCUUGUAUUUGGAGCAUAAAUGUUCAG